rnacentral:rRNA from 1 species
GACGAACGCUGGCGGCGUGCUUAACACAUGCAAGUCGAACGGAAAGGCCCUGCUUUUGUGGGGUGCUCGAGUGGCGAACGGGUGAGUAACACGUGAGUAACCUGCCCUUGACUUUGGGAUAACUUCAGGAAACUGGGGCUAAUACCGGAUAGGAGCUCCUGCUGCAUGGUGGGGGUUGGAAAGUUUCGGCGGUUGGGGUUGGACUCGCGGCUUAUCAGCUUGUUGGUGGGGUAGUGGCUUACCAAGGCUUUGACGGGUAGCCGGCCUGAGAGGGUGACCGGCCACAUUGGGACUGAGAUACGGCCCAGACUCGUACGGGAGGCAGCAGUGGGGAAUAUUGCACAAUGGGCGGAAGCCUGAUGCAGCAACGCCGCGUGCGGGAUGACGGCCUUCGGGUUGUAAACCGCUUUCGCCUGUGACGAAGCGUGAGUGAAGGUAAUGGGUAAAGAAGCACCGGCUAACUACGUG